UCUAGGUCUCAAAUCUCAAAUCUAACCUUGGAAACGUGAUCUAUACGUGUGGAUCUACGUUUUGACCGAUUGUUUUGAGGUAUUGGGUUACUAGGAGGUUGCUUGAGGCUACCCAAACCUUGGAUUUUGGUUUGGUGAAUUUUGGUGGCGCUUUACGAGCUGAACUUAGAGUCAUUGGAAUUAGUGUGCGAACGGCCUAAGAUGGAGCUUCUUUGGAUGCAGGUAUUGAUGAUGCGGAGGAGGACUCCGUUGCACACUAUGUGGAGUACUACGACUAAGCACGUCGCUUGAGUCGUAGGAGUGUCGGACUCGGAUAGUCCCUUUUGUGUAUUCUGUAUAUGGCUAGUGUGACUUAUAACACGUAGAUGUAGCCAUUCUUUUGUAUGCAUAAUUUAUGCUUAACUCCCCUUUAUGUAUUUUGUAUAUGGCUAGUGUGACU